rnacentral:misc_RNA from 1 species
UAGAUGAUGAUCCCAAGCCUUCUGGCGAUCUACACAAACAAGUCCACCGUGGACUUUGAAAAGCGCUUUCCUUUAUAAAAUUGAGCGUUUUGUAAGAGGAUGCCGGGGAAGGUUUUCCGGUUUAUCCCGGAGGGCUUGUAGCUCAGUUGGUUAGAGCGCGCGCUUGAUAAGCGUGAGGUCGGAGGUUCAAGUCCUCCCAG